UACGGAGGGUGCGAGCGUUGUCCGGAAUCAUUGGGCGUAAAGGGCGCGUAGGUGGCCCGGUCAGUUCGUGGUGAAAGACCGGGGCUCAACCCCGGGGUGUCAGCGGGGACUGCAGGGCUGGAGUCUCGGAGAGGGAUGCGGAAUACCUGGUGUAGCGGUGGAAUGCGUAGAUAUCAGGAGGAACACCGGUGGCGAAGGCGGAUCUCUGGGCCAUUACUGACGCUGAGGAGCGAAAGCGUGGGGAGCGAACAGG
rnacentral:rRNA from 1 species